UACGUAGGGUGCAAGCGUUGUCCGGAAUUAUUGGGCGUAAAGAGCUCGUAGGCGGCUUGUCACGUCGACUGUGAAAACCCGGGGCUCAACUCCGGGCCUGCAGUCGAUACGGGCUGGCUUGAGUGCGGUAGGGGAGACUGGAAUUCCUGGUGUAGCGGUGAAAUGCGCAGAUAUCAGGAGGAACACCGGUGGCGAAGGCGGGUCUCUGGGCAGUAACUGACGCUGAGGAGCGAAAGCGUGGGGAGCGAACAGG
rnacentral:rRNA from 1 species